UCAAUAAGCGGAGGAAAAGAAACCAACAGGGAUUGCCCCAGUAACGGCGAGUGAAGCGGCAACAGCUCAAAUUUGAAAUCUGGCCCUCGGGUCCGAGUUGUAAUUUGUAGAGGAUGCUUUUGGCGAGGUGCCUUCCGAGUUCCCUGGAACGGGACGCCAUAGAGGGUGAGAGCCCCGUCUGGUCGGACACCGAGCCUCUGUAAAGCUCCUUCGACGAGUCGAGUAGUUUGGGAAUGCUGCUCAAAAUGGGAGGUAUAUGUCUUCUAAAGCUAAAUAUUGGCCAGAGACCGAUAGCGCACAAGUAGAGUGAUCGAAAGAUGAAAAGCACUUUGAAAAGAGGGUUAAAAAGUACGUGAAAUUGUUGAAAGGGAAGCGCCUAUGACCAGACUUGAGCCCGGUGAAUCAUCCAGCGUUCUCGCUGGUGCACUUUGCCGGGCCCAGGCCAGCAUCAGUUUGGCGCGGGGGAUAAAGGUGACGGGAAUGUGGCUCCCUCGGGAGUGUUAUAGCCCGCUACGUAAUACCCUGCGCCGGACUGAGGUACGCGCAUUGCAAGGAUGCUGGCGUAAUGGUCAUCAGCGACCCGUCUUGAAACACGGACCAAGGAGUCGUCUUCGUAUGCGAGUGUUCGGGUGUCAAACCCCUACGCGUAAUGAAAGUGAACGCAGGUGAGAGCUUCGGCGCAUCAUCGACCGAUCCUGAUGUUCUCGGAUGGAUUUGAGUAAGAGCAUACGGGGCCGGACCCGAAAGAAGGUGAACUAUGCCUGUAUAGGGUGAAGCCAGAGGAAACUCUGGUGGAGGCUCGCAGCGGUUCUGACGUGCGAAUCGAUCGUCAAAUAUGGGCAUGGGGGCGAAAGACUAAUCGAACCUUCUAGUAGCUGGUUUCCGCGAU
rnacentral:rRNA from 1 species